rnacentral:ncRNA from 2 species
GCGUUCCCUACUGGAGAGAGGCCGCCGCAAAGACGGCCCACCGAAGGAGCAAACCCGCAUCGCCGGGCGAAUCUCUCAGGUAAAGUGGACAGCAGGGGCAAC